UCACCCAUCCCUUUCCCUCAACCUUACCUUAGCCCAAACACAUAGAAAAACGUAGGCUCUACAUAAUCCUCCACUCUGCACGUCUACUCUCUCUCUCCCCUGCUCUUUAUUUUCUCAAUACCUUUUGAUGUCCUUCUAGUCCUCCCUCACUAUUCUCAUCCUCUCCUAGUCUCUCCAUCUGGAACAGUUUGUGCAUAUAUUAUGAAGACAUUUUGUGAUAUUUUGGUUCGUUUUGGUCUUUGUUAAGGGUUUUGUUAAUCUGUUCGUGCACACAAAAUGUUUUGAGAAGCAAGCCGAAGUUCGAUAGCCGAAGUCUACACCCCUUCGUUGGCGAUUGGUCAACUGUAGGGGUGACGCGAGUUUCUUCUUCUCGAUUUAGUCCGAAAACUCAGUGUGGAUUCAACAUGGCGAACGGCAACUUCAAGCGUUGCUUAGCCAAGGAGGUACAGAAGUAAGCAAGACGGAAAGCAACAUGCCAUCUUCACCAGAGAAUGAGGCACGCACAAACCAGUGAAUGGGGACAGCACCAGGUUUUGUUCUCUGCUCCCCAGCAUGGCCUCUUCACCGGCCCCCAGCACUGACUGGUCAUUAACCCCCAGCCCAUCUCUCGCACUGAGCUGCUGUGCAGAAUGGAAAACCAUCUCUAUGAAGGACCUGGGAAGCCCUAUCCUGGGCCCACCUCCAAUACCUACUCCACUGGCUUGCUCCUCACCAAUGCCACAGAGCAGCAGCAGUAGUAGCAGGACUGUGAGAAGAAGGGAGAAAUGAGCUGCAGACUCAACCCUUGACACAUCACUCACAAAGGCGUUGCAAAGACCGAUCUCAAGAUCUGGAGAACGUCAUGCAUUGAGCAACCCAGAGGGCCCUGGCACCUAUAGCUGAUUUCAUGGAUGAACUAUUGCCAAAAUUCUGGUUGGAAUUCGAUCACCAGCUGCAUGACUUCAAGAAGACAUGGAUCGAACGACUGGGAUCACAGUGAAAUUAAAAACUUGUUCUUGUUGUUCAGACAUCUCAGGAGUCAGACCCUCGACAAUCUUAUUCCAUAGACACUUUUGUUGUUUGCAUGUCUGUUUUUCACAGACAAAUUUGUACUAUUCUACAAAUAAUUGCAUUUGUCUGACACUUUAAUGAUAUAUCAUUGAUGUGUUGUUUACAUGUCUGUUCUUAGCAGACACUGUUGUAUUGUGGUUUACUUUCAGAGCCCAGAUGCAAGAAUAAGGUUAAUUUUUUUUGUGUGCUGAAAAAGCUCUGUUUCUUCAUGUCGAUACAAGGUGUUUCAAUGCAUUCUAUUUGAUAAUCAAGUACUGCCAAUGUUGAGAAGAGCUGUGCGCUGCAGACCUUACAGGCUAUAUUUUGUGUGGCGUAGUUCAAUCUAAUCUAAAUGAAUGCACACAGACAUCAUAAACAUCUGGUUUCAUUUCAUUAACAAGAUUAAAACUACAUUUUAGUACAAAGUACUUUGGUUCACAGUGCACACAAAGAAUGCGUGCCUCCAAGGGCUGUGUGUGUGUGAGCAGUCCAAACAAAGUCCUAUUCUGCAUGAUUGGCUGGUCAUGGGUUGAGUUGUCCUCUCCUAACCAUGUCUUUUUGCCAUUGCACACAUGCGGGGGGGAGACGACAUCCCUGAGCGUGUUUCUUGUUUCGCUUGCAAGCCGUCUCGCCCUGGCACGAAAGAGUCUGCCUGGCUCUUGGAAAUUGUUGUCCCCUGCCACAACCCACUUCCACUCUCCAGGUUGGUAGUUGCUAGAAGGGAGGGGAGUGUCCCCAAAAGCGGGAGACACUUAUCUUGUGUUCGGUUCAUGAGCUUCAUCUGUGGAGGACAGGUAGUUGUGGAAGGCCAGACAAGCCUUCAGAAUGUCCUUAACCUUUUCAGGGGUACGCUCGAUUAGGCGAACAAGAGUCCUCAUCCUUGCAGCCAUGAUGCCGAAUGCAUUCUCUAUGACAACGAGAGUGGCGGUAGUUGUAGGUACGCCCAGGUUCAUUGAGAUGGACACCUGUGAAUGAGAGAUAAUAAGAAUAUAUGUUAGAUAUAAAAUAUAGCCUAUUUGGUAAAAAAAAUUAAAUAUUUUUUUUCCAGGAACCAUAUUCCAAAAGCCUUAAUAAAAUGGCAUUUCUCAUAUAGAUGUGCAUACAUGUAUGCAGUAACAAAGGGAAUUAGAAAGAAAAAUUGAUUCCAACAUUCUAUUAUCAACAUACCUGGAUAAGGGCGACUCAGUUUCUCAUGUAGGGGGAAAGCUGCAUCUCCCAGAAAAACAUGGACUUGGUGUUGUGGUGCCUAGCAGGACAGCUGGUGGUGGUAAAUCAAGAGUCUUCUGCAGCAGUUUGGACCCAAAAUAACUAUCUUGAAACACUCAACCCUUGACCCCAAAGAACUCUCUUGAAACUCUCAACCCUUGACCCCAAAGAACUCUCUUGAAACUCUCAACCCUUGACCCCAAAGAACUCUCUUGAAACUCUCAACCCUUGACCCCAAAGAACUCUCUUGAAACUCUCAACCCUUGCUCUCUCGGCCGUAUGUCCCUACAUCCGUCUCUGUAUCUUUCCUAUUAUAUGUCUUGCUAGGUAAAACAAAUCUAGUAGAUCCCGGGCAAGAGGUGAGGGAGAGGGUGAGGUA